rnacentral:lncRNA from 1 species
UUGCAUGUAAAAGGUGGUGAGUUGGGGUCAAUUGGGAAGACACCUGGAGCACUUGGAGUUCCAGGGUCAAUGAUAGGGGUAGGUGGUGUUUCAAUGGUAGGUGUAGACGGGGUAGUAGGUGUAGGGGAAGGAUAGUAACCACCACCGCCACCUGGAGUGCUUGGAGUUCCAGGAUCAACGGUAGGAGUUGGUGGUGUUUCAAUAGUAGGUGUAGACGGGGUACUAGGUGUAGGUGUAGGCGAAGGAUAGUAACCACCACCACCCGGAGUGCUUGGAGUUCCAGGAUCAACGGUUGGAGUUGGUGGUGUUUCAAUAGUAGGCGUAGAGGGGGUAGAUGGUGUACUAGGUGUAGGAGUAGGGGAAGGAUAGUAACCACCACCCCCUGGAGUGCUUGGAGUUCCAGGGUCAACGGUAGGAGUUGGUGGUGUUUCAAUUGUAGGCGUAGAGGGGGUAGAUGGUGUACUAGGUGUAGGAGUAGGGGAAGGAUAGUAUCCACCACCCCCCGGAGUGCUUGGAGUACCGGGGUCAGGAGUUGGUGUACUAGGAGGGGUUCCACCUCCACCAUGAUGAGUUGGUGGAGGCGAAGAAUAACUACCUCCUCCAUGCCCUCCUG